UACGGAGGGGGCAAGCGUUGUUCGGAAUCAUUGGGCGUAAAGGGCGCGUAGGCGGCCGGCCAAGUCGGGUGUGAAAUCCCUCGGCUCAACCGAGGAACUGCACUCGAUACUGGCUGGCUAGAGUCCGGGAGGGGAUGGUGGAAUUCCCAGUGUAGCGGUGAAAUGCGUAGAUAUUGGGAAGAACACCGGUGGCGAAGGCGGCCAUCUGGACCGAGACUGACGCUGAGGCGCGAAAGCGUGGGGAGCAAACAGG
rnacentral:rRNA from 1 species